rnacentral:rRNA from 1 species
UGAGGUAACGGCCCACCAAGGCGACGAUCAGUAGCCGACCUGAGAGGGUGACCGGCCACAUUGGGACUGAGACACGGCCCAAACUCCUACGGGAGGCAGCAGUGGGGAUAUUGCACAAUGGGGAAACCCUGAUGCAGCGACGCCGCGUGAGUGAAGAAGUAUUUCGGUAUGUAAAGCUCUAUCAGCAGGGAAGAAACUGACGGUACCUGACUAAGAAGCCCGGCUAACUAC